rnacentral:tRNA from 1 species
AAGUUUAGGUUAACCCAAACUCAAACCAAGGACCUUCAAAGCCCUAAAUAGGGACCAAGCCCCUAACUUCUG